ACAAUGGAGAGUUUGAUCCUGGCUCAGGAUAAACGCUAGCGGCAGGCCUAACACAUGCAAGUCGAGGGGCAUCGGAUAGAGUACUUCGGUACUCUUGCCGGCGACCGGCGGACGGGUGCGUAACGCGUAUGCAACCUACCUUCAACAGGGGGAUAAUCCGAAGAAAUUUGGUCUAAUACCCCAUAAUAUUCCGACAGGCAUCUGUUGGAGUUGAAAGCUUCGGUGGUUGGAGAUGGGCAUGCGUUGUAUUAGCUAGAUGGUGAGGUAA
rnacentral:rRNA from 1 species